GACGAACGCUGGCGGCGUGCUUAACACAUGCAAGUCGAACGGAAAGGCCCUGCUUUUGUGGGGUGCUCGAGUGGCGAACGGGUGAGUAACACGUGAGUAACCUGCCCUUGACUUUGGGAUAACUUCAGGAAACUGGGGCUAAUACCGGAUAGGAGCUCCUGCUGCAUGGUUGGGGUUGGAAAGUUUCGGCGGUUGGGGAUGGACUCGCGGCUUAUCAGCUUGUUGGUGGGGUAGUGGCUUACCAAGGCUUUGACGGGUAGCCGGCCUGAGAGGGUGACCGGCCACAUUGGGACUGAGAUACGGCCCAGACUCCUACGGGAGGCAGCAGUGGGGAAUAUUGCACAAUGGGCGGAAGCCUGAUGCAGCAACGCCGCGUGCGGGAUGACGGCCUUCGGGUUGUAAACCGCUUUCGCCUGUGACGACGCGUGAGUGACGGUAAUGGGUAAAGAAGCACCGGCUAACUACGUG
rnacentral:rRNA from 1 species